GUUAAAAAGCUCGUAGUUGGGUUUCUGCCGGUGAGCGACGGUCCGCCCGAGUGGUUGGUACACGUCGCGCCGCCGGCAUCUUCCUGGGGAAUGUGUCUGCACUUCACUGUGUGGCGCGGGAUCCAGGACGUUUACUUUGAGGAAAUUACAGUGCUUCAAGCAGGCUCACGCUCUCUGAAUACGUUAGCAUGGAAUAAUAGCAUCGGACCUCGAUCCAAAGCUGUUGGUUUCUUGGAUCUGGGUAAAGGUGAAUAGGGAUUGUUGGGGGCAUUCGUAUUUAACUGUCAGAGGUGAAAUUCUUGGAUUUGUUGAAGACGGACUACUGCGAAAGCAUCUGCCAAAGAUGUUCUCAUUGAUCAAGAACGAAAGUUAGGGGAUCGAAGACGAUCAGAUACCGUCCUAGUCUUAACCAUAAACUAUGCCGACUGGAGAUCGGUGGCUGCUAUCAUUAUGGCACCAUCUGCAUCUUGAGAGAAAUCAAAGUCUUUGGGUUCCGGGGGGAGUAUGGUCGCAAGGCUGAAACUUAAAGGAAUUGACGGAAGGGCACCACCAGGAGUGGAGCCUGCGGCUUAAUUUGACUCAACACGGGGAAACUUACCAGGUCCAGACAUAGUGAGGAUUGACAGACUGAUAGCUCUUUCGAGAUUCUAUGGGUGGUGGUGCAUGGCCGUUCUUAGUUGGUGGAGUGAUUUGUCUGGUUAAUUCCGUUA
rnacentral:rRNA from 1 species